GACGAACGCUGGCGGCGUGCUUAACACAUGCAAGUCGAACGGAAAGGCCCUGCUUUUGUGGGGUGCUCGAGUGGCGAACGGGUGAGUAACACGUGAGUAACCUGCCCUUGACUUUGGGAUAACUUCAGGAAACUGGGGCUAAUACCGGAUAGGAGCUCCUGCUGCAUGGUGGGGGUUGGAAAGUUUCGGCGGUUGGGGAUGGACUCGCGGCUUAUCAGCUUGUUGGUGGGGUAGUGGCUUACCAAGGCUUUGACGGGUAGCCGGCCUGAGAGGGUGACCGGGCACAUGGGGACUGAGAUACGGCCCAGACUCCUACGGGAGGCAGCAGUGGGGAAUAGUGCACGAUGGGCGGAAGCCUGAUGCAGCAUCGCCGCGUGCGGGAUGACGGCCUUCGGGUUGUAAACCGCUUUCGCCUGUGACGAAGCGUGAGUGACGGUAAUGGGUAAAGAAGCACCGGCUAACUACGUG
rnacentral:rRNA from 1 species